rnacentral:piRNA from 1 species
UCCUAUGUCAUCUCUUGAUGCUCUCAGACC